GAGCCAGUGGCCUAGUGGUUAGAGCGUCCGCCUCGGAUGCGGGUGGUCGCGGGUUCGAACCCAAGCUGAGUCG